UACGUAGGGGGCAAGCGUUGUCCGGAUUUAUUGGGCGUAAAGAGCGUGUAGGCGGCCAAACAGGUCAGCUGUGAAAACUCGGAGGCUCAACCUCGAGACGUCGGUUGAAACCGUUUGGCUAGAGUCCGGAAGAGGAGAGUGGAAUUCCCGGUGUAGCGGUGAAAUGCGCAGAUAUCGGGAAGAACACCCGUGGCGAAGGCGGCUCUCGUGGGACGGUACUGACGCUGAGACGGCGAAAGCGUGGGGAGCGAACAGG
rnacentral:rRNA from 1 species